GGAACUGGAAGCGACGGCCGUGACGUAAGGAUAACUGGGCGUGGCUUACACGGAGAGGGGAAAGGCGCGCCCGGCCCCGCCCCUGGGAGUUGGCCGGCCAAUAGGAAGCGAGCGUUGACGUAGCGCUCUGGUCCCGUUACACUUCCUGAGAUUGGAGUUUGCGCGUCAGACGCCGCGGAGGAUCACACCGAAGGCGCAUCCCCCUCAGACAGGACCCCCGUUACUGUGCCCCAGCCACACUCGCAGCAUGGCCUUCCCCGGAUACGGAGGCGUGAGUAUGACAGGGCCGGCCGCGGGUAACCGUGGGAACCACAGCCUCCACAGACCACCUCUCCC